rnacentral:rRNA from 1 species
CAGCAGUAGCCACGGUAAUACGUAGGUGGCAAGCGUUGUCCGGAAUUAUUGGGCGUAAAGGGCUCGCAGGCGGUUUCUUAAGUCUGAUGUGAAAGCCCCCGGCUCAACCGGGGAGGGUCAUUGGGAACUGGGAAACUUGAGUGCAGAAGAGGAGAGUGGAAUUCCACGUGUAGCGGUGAAAUGCGUAGAGAUGUGGAGGAACACCAGUGGCGAAGGCGACUCUCUGGUCUGUAACUGACGCUGAGGAGCGAAAGCGUGGGGAGCGAACAGGAUUAGAUACCCGGGUAGUCCCUGUCUCUUAUAA